AACGCCGGCCGCGGCAUCGAGACGCGUUUGAAUUAGGCGCGCGGAGUGACGUCGGUGCAAAAAAAGUUACGUUUUCAAAAAAAAAAAAAUACCUCGUUUUAUAAUUUUUUUUUUUUUUUUAACCCAAAAUAUAAUAAGUGCACUUCGCAUCGAUCAUUACAUAUAUACGUACGCGAUUGGAGAAACGUCCGAAAUCCUAUUAUUUACUACCCAACAAAUCUAUAAUACCGUUCGAACCGGCCAAAGUAAUUUUUCCGCUCUCGGCCACGUCACCACUAUCCCGAGGGCAAUCCGUCAUCUUAAGGGCUUCGUCGACUUCAGAGUAUUCUUAAGAGAAAGUGCGCCGGUUUAUAAAUCUCUUAUAGCUAACCCACCGUCGUUAUUCUUUCGAAACCGAUAAUAAUCAAAUCUGAACGUAACGAAUUAUUAAAUGUGUCAUCAUUAUCACAUCGUGUUUAUUGUAAAGUGUUAUGUCCCGAUUUUAUUUCAAAAAAGAAGACAGGCGAUUUUCCCCAUAUUAUGACAUCCACUCCGUAUUAAUAUGUUGUGGACUUUUCCGUGAUGAUUUCUGCGGGUUUAAAUGUUAAAACCAAUAUUAAGAUCAAAAUUUACCGAAAAUAGGUUUUCUGAAUAGUUAAAAAAAUUCGCAGAAACACUAGUAAAUAUCAAAUCAUAAAUUAAUUUAGAUAAAUAACAUAUUGUCUUGUAAAUCACUUGUUUUUUCACGUUGAAGGUAUUGUU